GCCUAUUUAAACAGGGCAGUUUGGCUGCAGGAGGUCAGGCAGCUGUGAAUGACCUGGAGGAAAGGGGGAGCUGCAAGGGGAUGGGAUUCAGACAUGGAAGUAGCAUGGCCCAAGUGCCCUGCUUGGCUUGCAAAGCUUGUGGAUUCCAUUUGCAUCGCUGUUGCACUGCUGCUCAGGGGACUAGUGCACAAAAAGGUGAGGAACUGAGACCCAGAGGCAUUAAAUGACUUGCGCCAGAGCCCAGAGGAGUUACGCAGCUGAGCAGAGAACUGAACUUCAGGUCAUCCAAGCCAAAGCCUAGUGUCCUGGCUACUUGACAGUCCUUCCGCUGUGCCAACUGAGUGUAAAUGUGUACUACUGUAGACGAGCUGGACUGAGUUCCAUUCUUCCUGGCAGGUGAAGAGUAGAGAGAGUUGUUGUCUUACUGGUAUUACAGGCUUCCUGCCUGCUUACAAGUGUUGGACCGAGCUUCUGCCCUGAUGUGUUUCUUACUUAGUUUCCACAUAUUGGUUCCAUUUUUAAGCAUUUCACAUAGAAUUAAUUUGUUUUUUACACCUAUUUGUGGUUUUGUUACCUGGGACAAUAGUAUCCAGUUUGACACCAAGCACUCUGCACUCAUCAGCAAGUGACAGGGCAUAGAACCAUUCCUUUAGGUUCUGUAAAAAUCUAUUAGCAUUCAAAGCCCGCUAAAAAACUCUUAUCUUUCCAAGUUGCAUUUAGCAUUUGAUUCGCUUUACUGUACUCUUUCUGGGACGUAUGCUUUGUCCUCUUAUUUCUACAGCCUUACUUCACUGUUUUUAUGAGUCAUACUUUAGAAAAUAAACCGUAUCUAGGAAUGGUGAGACUUAAUGAAUUAGUGAACACGUGCAUAUGAAUUUCCAUUCUUGCUAACAUGGUCCAGUACAUAAAGCAGUUCUUGGUUUUGGUCCUUCUUCAGAAAUAUAGCACUCAAGCGCAUUAUAAGUGCAUCUCAAUUCAGGAUAGCACUUAGGUAUGUUUUUAACUUGUAAGCAUGUGCUUAUGUGCCUUUGCUGAAGCCAUGGCUCUAUUCUGAACUGUCAUCCUGGGUAAGUGUCUUCAUUGUACCUAAGAUUCCCUAUUUGUAAAUGUGACUAAUGGUGCUUAUACACACCUUUGUUAAGUGUUUUGAGACCUUAGAUGAAAAGUAUGAUAUAAGUGCUACAUAACAUUAUCUUUUCUCUCUGUUCAUGCUGGGCUGAUUCUCACUGGGUGUGUCUACAUGAGAUGCUUUACUGCGCAGCAGACUAAUUUGCUGUACAAUAAGGCAUCACCAUCUAUCCAUGUGUGGCAAUUAGGGUGCAGUAGACUAAUUUACUGUGCUGCUGGAUAGUUUCAUCAGAUACAAGAGGUAUCUGACAGCACAGUAAAUUACUGCACUUAAACACAUGUGCAGAUUAGAACAUUGGGAUUAGUUUGUCAGUUUGAGCCAGAGUAUAUUCAGUCAUGUUAUUUGCAAGUGUAGAUGUGCCCUCUGUUACCUGUUGAUCAGUAAAGAGGGAAUUAGCAAUAAAAGUUUGAUAUAGUCUUGUAAAAUGAAAGCAAAAUAAAAAUCAAUUCAAAUAUCACAUUA